rnacentral:lncRNA from 1 species
UCUAUUUUAAAUAUGAAUACACUAAAAAUAGACAUACCUGCACUAAACAGUCAAAACAAGGGCAGGAAUGAAAGCUAUGGCUUGCAGUGUUGUGUGUCUAGUUGUUAUGUUAGUUUGUUAGAGAUGAUGUGUAGCAGAUGGAUGUAACAAGAAUUUAUCUGGUGAUAACUGCACUUUUCUUUGUCUCUGUCAGAUAACCCCAGUAAAAAUAAACAAACACCACCAACAACAGAGACAGUAGAGAAGAAAAAUGAGACUGCUUGGAAAGUGAAAUAACCAUAUAUGUGUGUCUUUUGACACUUCAUUUUUAUAUGACCCAAGGCUGACAGAUUCAGAGUAUAAGUAUCACUUUUCUUAUAAAAGCUGGUCUGCAGAAAAUGAUACCCUACCCCAAGGAAAACAAGUACUUAGCCGAAAAGCAGUGUACUGUGUGACUGGGCCCCUCUGUACAAUAACAUUUGUUGCUACAUAAAGCUCCAGGUGGUUUUAAUUUCAAACUGAAUUUCUAAUUUUCUCUUCCAGUCUCUCAGAGCAACAGAAAAGAAUCUUAUGGUUUUAUCGUUACUACUGCAAUAAUCUAAAUUGCUCCCUUCCUCUGGUACUGGGCAGCGCACCCAGUUGGGAUCGAAUGACUGUAUCAGAAAUGUAUGCUGUGUUGAGAAGGUGGAGAUUUUCUAACCCUCUGGAGGCACUUGGGCUUCUGACCUUCAGGUAAGCGAAAAUUAACCAAGUAGGAAAAUAACAAUAAGCAAUUGAUCACAUGCUGAUUAAUUCAUCACAGUAGCAUACUUUGGUUCACUGACUGCGCUUUUGGUUCUGUCCCUGUGUCAAAAUGAAGAUGUAGUUGCAACUCUUGUGAUGACCUUGAGCUGAGUAUGCCAGCCAUGCCUUCCUGGCUGAGAAGGUUUUCUGUUUCUCAGGAUAAUGAAGAGUAUUUCAUUCUCUGUAGCAGAUUCAGUCAGUUUCUGGUAACAAGAGAUCAGUCAAAUACUUCGCACUUACAUAGCACUCCAUAUCUUCAAACAACUGUACAGACAUGAAGCGACUAAUGGGAGAUAAGGAGGACUGGAAUAUGCUUCUAGAUUAUGACACCGUGUAAAUACAUACAGUUCCACCUGUAACCUAUCUUUCUGAUGCAGAUAGGAUGAAACUUUGAAGUCAGUUCUCCACGCUUUGAAUAAAUUCUGUUGUGAUGCCUUA